UAAAUACUCCCUCCGUCCGAAAAAGCUUGUCCCAAGCUUGUCCCUCAAAUGGAUGUAUCUAGCACCAAGUUAGUGAUAGAUACAUCCAUUUGAGGGACAAACUUUUUCGGACGGAGGGAGUAGGAA
rfam:Triticum urartu cultivar G1812 contig822367, whole genome shotgun sequence.